AUUGAACGCUGGCGGCAUGCCUUACACAUGCAAGUCGAACGGCAGCAUGGGUGCUUGCACCUGAUGGCGAGUGGCGAACGGGUGAGUAAUGCAUCGGAACGUACCCGGAAGUGGGGGAUAACGUAGCGAAAGUUACGCUAAUACCGCAUAUUCUGUGAGCAGGAAAGCGGGGGAUCGCAAGACCUCGCGCUUCCGGAGCGGCCGAUGUCGGAUUAGCUAGUUGGCGGGGUAAAGGCCCAUCAAGGCAACGAUCCGUAGCGGGUCUGAGAGGAUGGUCCGCCACACUGGGACUGAGACACGGCCCAGACUCCUACGGGAGGCAGCAGUGGGGAAUUUUGGACAAUGGGGGCAACCCUGAUCCAGCCAUGCCGCGUGAGUGAAGAAGGCCUUCGGGUAGUAAAGCUCUUUCGGCCGGGAAGAAAUCGCAUCUCCUAAUCCGGGGUGUGGGUGACGGUACCAGCAUAAGAAGCACCGGCUAACUACGUGCCAGCCGCCGCCGUAACAC
rnacentral:rRNA from 1 species